UCCAGCUUGUGUCAAUUCCUGACAUGUUGCUAUAUGUGCAGAUAUCUCCUAGGUCAAGAAGCUAUGCAACUGGUAUAUCAAAUGGUAAUUUUCUGUUGGAGAUGUUCCUUUUCAACUCAGAGAAAUUUCUUUAGCAUCCUUGAAGUCCAAGGUGCAGAGGAAUAAAAUGAAAACUGCUGGUCAAGAUAGUGAUAUACAGAUGUCUUAUCCAUGCAACUUAAGGGAUCAAGACAAUAUCUACUUCGGGAUAUCAAACUAGACAACAUUUACAAGUGAUGUUGUCUUCGACAUGUAAAUUAAACUGAUGUUUG